UCCAUCGUGAGGUGGAAUCUGAAGUAAGCUUAAUGCAAAUUCUCGGUCUGACGAACAGAAAUCACAUACAAGGCAUUUAUAGGGCAGACGAGCUUGCCCAACAAAGUGAAGUCCAAUACUACCCGAACCCUAUGGUGUAAAUGUGACAGAUAGAUGAGAGGAAGGUUAUCACU
rnacentral:ncRNA from 1 species